CUUUAUUGGAGAGUUUGAUCCUGGCUCAGGAUGAACGCUGGCGGCGUGCCUAAUACAUGCAAGUCGAGCGAAUGGAUUAAGAGCUUGCUCUUAUGAAGUUAGCGGCGGACGGGUGAGUAACACGUGGGUAACCUGCCCAUAAGACUGGGAUAACUCCGGGAAACCGG
rnacentral:rRNA from 1 species